rnacentral:ncRNA from 2 species
GGUCAAGCGAACAAGUGCAUGUGGUGGAUGCCUUGGCGAUCACAGGCGAUGAAGGACGCGGUAGCCUGCGAAAAGUUGUGGGGAGCUGGCAACGAGCUUUGAUCCACAAAUGUCCGAAUGGGGAAACCCGGCCCGUAUGGGUCACCCACAACUGAAUCCAUAGGUUGUGUGGGGCGAACGCGGUGAACUGAAACAUCUAAUUAACCGCAGGAAAAGAAAUCAACCGAGAUUCCCAAAGUAGUGGCGAGCGAAAUGGGAUCAGCCGGUACUCUUUAUUUAUCUUAUUAGCUGAACGCUCUGGAAAGUGCGGCCCGAGCAGGUGAUAGCCCUGUAAGCGAAAAUAGGAGGAAAGAACUAGGGGUACGAGAAGUAGGGCGGGACACGUGAAAUCCUGUCUG